UAUAAUUGUCUUUUUUUUUAGAUAUAUUGGAGAAAUAAAGUUAAUGGAAUGUUAACUGAACAAUCGUGCAUGAAUGUAUAAAGAGGCUCAUUUCUCAAGGAGAUAAAGAAUCACUUAAGUGCUUGUGUAAAUUGCUGAAAACUAAGGGUAAAGAAUUAAAUGAUCGAAAAAUUAAAGGUUCAAAAGAAAGUAUGGAAAAUUAUUUCUUACAAAUGCAAAAGAUAGUAGACAAACGUUUAACUAGCUCUAGGGUCAGGUUCAUGUUGCAAGAUGUUAUAGAUUUAAAAAGGAAUGAUUGGGUUCUACGGAACAUGUCCUUCCAAAACAGGGUAUCUGAUCGUAUCAGUGUGCUUGAUUUUCAUAAUCUGUUAUUGAUGUAAUAUUUAUUGUAAUUAACCAUAUUUUAGCAAACCAUAUUUUCACAAACCAUAUUUUCUCAAAAUACUUUAUUUUCUCUUAUUUUAAACCCAUAUUUUAGCAAU